rnacentral:ncRNA from 1 species
AGGCCUCAAGUGAUGUGUGACUACCCCCUAAAUUUAAGCAUAUUAAUAAGGGGAGGAAGAGAAACCAACCGGGAUUCCCUGAGUAGCUGCGAGCGAAACGGGAAGAGCUCAGCACGUAGGGACGGCAUGGAAACGUGCCUGUCCGAUUCCGUGUACUGGACCGGUCCGUUAUCUAUCACGCACUGUGCACUUCAAGUUCAACUUGAAGGUGGCCCAUUCUCCCAUAGAGGGUGAUAGGCCCGUGGAAAGGCAUGAGGUGA